UCGCGGCAGAGGGCAGUACGCGCCGGUGACGCCAUCACGCCGUCCGCCGAAGAAAAACACGGAGAACGGAAGCGCUUGUUUAAUGGAUUUGAAAUAGUAUUUCUUCGAAUAUUUAUUAGACUCUGUGUUUCAAGUGUGCUAAUGUCAUUAUUUACCUCUAGGUCAUUUUUCACACCGCUGACGACACCGCACUUUGACUGCGUGCUCACGUGAUGUUUGUUACUUUUCUCAGCGCUGCGCCUAAAAAACCAGUCACGAUCGAGAUGAAUGGAUCGCACUGCGUUACUUUGAACAUUUUAUACCGUCUGCUGAGGCAGACCAUCGUUUAUAUUUCAGGCAGUAAUUCCUGGAGUAAUUACAGCAACUAUUUAUGAUUUUUUUUCUGUGUGUGUGUGUGUGUGUGUGUGUGUGUGUGUGUGUGUGUGUGUGUGUGUGUGUGUGUGUGUGUUUACCGCGCUGUCAGUGUAAAGUUCGUUCCGCCGCGGACGUCAUUCGUCAGAUCUCGAUAGUGUAUGGUGUUAUCUGUCGGUUUCCGAGCAUAAGAGCAGAUAAACCGGAGGAAUAAUGCGUCUCUCGGCCGGUGGAUGAUGAAGAUCCGGUUUCUGCUGCUGCUGUGUUCAGUGUCAGGACUCUGCCGAUGAUUGCUGGGAAUGAUGAGCAGAGCGUCUUUAUCAGUGAAGUGGAGUCUUCCUCAGUUUCCUCACAGAUUCCAGACUUGGUCCAGCAUCUCCUCAUGAGUGUGUCUCAUGCCGGGACUCUGGAAGCGGCGUCACAGAUUUGUCUGGAGCUGCGUGUGAUGCUGCUGGAUAUGAUCCUGGUCUCAGCAGCUUUCCAGCGGUUCAAGAGAACGUCAGUGUGCGUGAGUCCAGAAGACCUGCUAAAGGCGAA